GCCACACUACCUUUUUCUAUACUGCAUGUAGAAGGAAGAAAGAGAAGGGAAAAGAAGAAAGAAGGGGGAGGAGAUCAGGAGGAGGAAGAAGGGGGCCGGUGCCCCUCUCACCCAGCAGCAAGGGAGGAGGAGAAAGGGAGAAGGGAAGGAGAAGGAGGAGAAGAAAGAGGAAAAUCCUGAUCUCUUGUCAAGUUGCUCGUGGUUGCCCUAGGUGCUUGAUGCUUGCUUGCUUGGACGGGAUGGGAGUAGCAGCACUUCUACAUGUUAUAAUUACACAUAUUAAUACAGUAGUGGUGUUGUAAUAAUAAUGCAAGUGUUGGAGUUGCUUAGCUCUUAGUGUUGCUUAGCGUUGGUAAACUUGUUUUAGUUUGCUUUGUUGGAGGUAAAAAAUUUAAUGCCUUAAUGCAUUCGUUUUGCUAGGAUACUUAUGUGUUAGUGUGCGGUUUUAUUUAUGCACCCUAUAUCUAUGUUGUUGCUUCCGCUUUAUCUUGUUUUAGAGGAGGUGCUGCCGAAAUUUUAUAAUUUUGGCAAGUCAAGUGGAGUAGUUUGUAGUCACAUUCCAGGCUU